ACAGGCCUAUGACCUAUGAAUUGACAGCCAGUCCUGCUGCGCCCUGGCUGUCAGUUCUGUAGGGCACAGGUAUGU
rfam:Chelonia mydas contig259575, whole genome shotgun sequence.